rnacentral:tRNA from 1 species
GUUAACGUAGAUUAAGUAAAGCAUAACACCGAAGAUGUUAAGAUGAGCCCUAGAAAGCUCCGCAAGCA